rnacentral:rRNA from 1 species
GACGAACGCUGGCGGCGUGCCUAAUACAUGCAAGUUGAGCGCUGAAGGUUGGUACUUGUACCAACUGGAUGAGCAGCGAACGGGUGAGUAACGCGUGGGGAAUCUGCCUUUGAGCGGGGGACAACAUUUGGAAACGAAUGCUAAUACCGCAUAAAAACUUUAAACACAAGUUUUAAGUUUGAAAGAUGCAAUUGCAUCACUCAAAGAUGAUCCCGCGUUGUAUUAGCUAGUUGGUGAGGUAAAGGCUCACCAAGGCGAUGAUACAUAGCCGACCUGAGAGGGUGAGCGGCCAAAUUGGGACGGAGACACGGCCCAAACCCCUACGGGAGGCAGCAGUAGGGAAUCUUCGGCAAUGGACGAAAGUCUGAACGAGCAACGCCGCGUGAGUGAAGAAGGUUGUCGGAUCGUAAAACUCUGUUGGUAGAGAAGAACGUUGGUGAGAGUGGAAAGCUCAUCAAGUGACGGUAACUACCCAGAAAGGGACGGCUAACUACGUG